AGAAAGAAGUUCUGGAGGAGUAAAUAGACGUGCCCAGCACAAUGCGUUAACCAGUCUGGCUGUCUGAGAGCAGCUCCUGCUCUGGAGUUCAGGGAUCAUCUCUUCUUCUACAGAAAACAUCUGCGAGAGUAAAUGACGGAGAUGAAAGAUCUUGGCAAAGGGCUAUUUUUCUUUGCUUGGCUUAAAGGGGGCCAGAUGAAGCCUUCAGCCUCACCCUCGUCCGCCCCAGCCUGACUCCCUCCCCCGCCUCCCAGGGAGGAGAGAAAUGGGAUCUGAAUGAAGACAGACCAGAAGGUGGCCCAGCCGGCCCCAAGUCCCCAGGCAGGGGAGGUUGUUUUUCCAGUGGAACAGGCUGGCCUGGAGGAAAAGGCCGUGGAAAGAAGACCAGCAAGCUUGGGCUUCUGCAGCUGCUGCCGCCCGCCGUGUUUUUCGUGCCGGCUCUCUGCUCUCACUGCCCUCACACGCUCCGGGCAGCACGACCUCGUCCGCAGCAGACUGUUCUGGGCUCUGGGGCUCAUCACGGAGGAGACACUACCCCGCCUCUCGCUUCCCUCCUUCAGGCUCCUCUCUCCUGAGGGCUGGGGCCGUUUCUCACGGAGUCCCAGCCGAGGCUUGACAUGUUCUCUUUGACCUCCAAGGAACUGUGUGGUUUUGGAUAAGUUAGGAACUUCUCCGAUGCUCAGUUUCGCUGUCUGUGAAAUGGGGAUAAUGAUACCUACUUCACACAGGAUGAGAUGAAACAACAAAGCACGCUCCACACGAAACGUGGCCCUUCAUGCCUACUUAGUAAAGGAUGAUGCUGGAUCAGUGCAAGACUCUUAGCCACACAAGGCUCUUUCUAAGCUGCAGCCAGCCCCAAUUCAUCUCCCGUGCCUACUCAGACACCUGCCAUGGCCAGGGACAAUUGCCUCCAGGGGACACUUAGCAAUGUCUGGAGAUAUGGCUGACCGUCACAACUCUGGGGAGACAGAGGCGUGGGAUGGAGCAGUAUCGAGUGAAUUCCUCCAAUACACGCAUAGAGCAGGAGUCAACCCUUAUUAGGGCAGAGGACUCAAGGCCCAGCUUCACAGCCUACCCGGCUAUGGCCUACUUGGAGAUGGUACAGACAGAACCUGUGCAAAUGAUUAAAGCUCUGGAUGCCUAGGCCUGAUGAAGAAAGGCAAAGGAAUGGACAUUGUUUAACCUCAAGCAAAUGAUGGCUGAAGCAAGUCCUAAUGGCUAUGUUUCAGUACCACAGGUGAUUUCUAAAUGGAGGAAGUGACCAGCCACUCUUUGGCACCCAGGACCCAAGAAAAUGAAGCCCAUGGGGGUGAAGGGAAGGAUGGGGGUUCAGUGGCUCCCAGGAUGGAGCAAGUAAAUGAAGGGAUGACAAGAACUCAUAGGAGCUCAUUGCUGAGGGGCCUAGAGGUCCCUGUUUCUUCCCUCUUCCUUUGGUUCUAUUUCUGCUCCCCUGCUGGCCCUGUCGGAGAGCUAGGGACAGGGCAGUCCAAGGUUCAGGCCUUGCUUCUAGAACUUUCCUUUGAACUGGAAAAGCAGGAAAGACAAGAGGAGCCUGGGAGGCAGAGGGCAGGAGUAUCGGGGAGGAAAAAAAGGCGAGAAAGAAGGAGAAAGGAAAGCAAGAGCGAGGCGGCCUCUGGAGAGACAUCAGGAAAAUGUCAAGGUCUCAGCAUCUGGAAAACAGACCAGGGGCUAUAUUUAGACUGCCAUGACUUGCAAUAAUUUGUGCGAGGGGGGGAAAAGGAAAAUGCGAAGUUGGCGGGGAGGGAAUGAGUUAUAAGCAAAGAGGGGCUUGAUGGGGAGAGCAGUGCCCAAAGCCUCAGUGCGUGGCCCUUAGGAAAGGGCAUCUCAACGGUGUGGAUUGUCCUGUGUGAGCCAUGGUGUUUACAGAGCCGAAUCCAGCUCAUGCCCUUGUCCCCUGAUGGGUCCUGUGCUCCCCACUGAUAACAUGGGUGCAUUCCCGGAUGUGCCAGGGGACCCUAGGCCAUGGCACCGAGAUGUGUCAAUGAGGAGGCAGGGGGUUUUCUGGAGAGUGAGGGCCAACGCAGGGGCUCUGCAUGGGGGCUCAGAGCUACAUGAGCAGCCCUCUGUAAAUCCUAGGAAUUUGUAUAUAUUGCU
rnacentral:lncRNA from 1 species